CCUUAAACGAAAAUCAUUCACCUACACUCAGAUCUACAUCCUCCACUCCCCAAAUAUAGAGAUUAGUUUUAUCUUCUCCGAUUUCAGUGAAGUUCUGGGUGCUUGGAAAAGCUAAGAAAGUUGUCUCACAGGUUCAAGGUAUGAAAUCAUUUUUUUCUCAUAUCUGUUCGCGAAGAGUUUCAGAAGACUUUGCUAGAUGUGUUCUCCGUCAAGAAGACUUCCGUAGAAAUCUUCUAAUUUUCCUUUUAUUAAGAAAAAACCAAAAAAUCUCAGAAAAGACUACUCGAAAAGUCUUCUCAGAUAAACAUGUUAGUUUUGCAAUUGACCGAUGUUUGUCAGAAAUUUGACUUCUUAUAGAAGACUUCUCGAAAAAUUUUCUUGGAGAAAACUUCUAUAGAAGUCUUCUGAAAAAAAUUGACCAAAACUUACAAAAUUAAUAUGAAAAACACUGAAAUCACA